GAUGAACGCUGGCGGCAGGCCUAACACAUGCAAGUCGAGCGGUAGAGAGGUGCUUGCAUCUCUUGAGAGCGGCGGACGGGUGAGUAAUGCCUAGGAAUCUGCCCUAGUGGUGGGGGGAUAACGUUCGGAAACGGACGCUAAUACCGCAUACGUCCUACGGGAGAAAGCGGGGGAUCUUCGGACCUCGCGCCAUUAGAUGAGCCUAGGUCGGAUUAGCUAGUUGGUGAGGUAAUGGCUCACCAAGGCGACGAUCCGUAACUGGUCUGAGAGGAUGAUCAGUCACACUGGAACUGAGACACGGUCCAGACUCCUACGGGGAGGCAGCAGUGGGGAAUAUUGGACAAUGGGCGAAAGCCUGAUCCAGCCAUGCCGCGUGUGUGAA
rnacentral:rRNA from 1 species